rnacentral:rRNA from 1 species
AUUGAACGCUGGCGGCAGGCCUAACACAUGCAAGUCGAACGGUAACGGGAAGAAGCUUGCUUCUUUGCUGACGAGUGGCGGACGGGUGAGGAAUGUCUGGGAAACUGCCUGAUGGAGGGGGAUAACUACUGGAAACGGUAGCUAAUACCGCAUAACGUCGCAAGACCAAAAAGGGGGACCUUCGGGCCUCUUGCCAUCGGAUGUGCCCAGAUGGGAUUAGCUAGUAGGUGGGGUAACGGCUCACCUAGGCGACGAUCCCUAGCUGGUCUGAGAGGAUGACCAGCCACACUGGAACUGAGACACGGUCCAGACUCCUACGGGAGGCAGCAGUGGGGAAUAUUGCACAAUGGGCGCAAGCCUGAUGCAGCCAUGCCGCGUGUAUGAAGAAGGCCUUCGGGUUGUAAAGUACUUUCAGCGGGGAGGAAGGGAGUAAAGUUAAUACCUUGGCUCAUUGACGUUACCCGCAGAAGAAGCACCGGCUAACUCCGUG